AAGACUAUAGACCUGCGGAGUACCUGCGGAAGGAUCAUUAUCGAGUGUGACCCUCCUGUAAAAAAGGGGGUACCUCCCGUCCUUUUGCUAGGCUCUCCCCCCACCAAAUUUUUUUUGGGAGGGGAAGCUUUUUUAAACCUUCUGCUUCGGUGGGUUUUAACCCCGCCGGAACAACCUCAAAAACUCUUUAUAAUUGUUCUGUCCGAGAAAAAUUUUAUAAAAUGAAAAAACUUUUAACAA
rnacentral:misc_RNA from 1 species